rnacentral:rRNA from 1 species
CCUACGGGAGGCAGCAGUAGGGAAUAUUGCUCAAUGGGGGAAACCCUGAAGCAGCAACGCCGCGUGGAGGAAGAAGGUUUUCGGAUUGUAAACCCCUUUUGUUAGAGAAGAUAAUGACGGUAUCUGACGAAUAAGCACCGGCUAACUCCGUGCCAGCAGCCGCGGUAAUACGGAGGGUGCAAGCGUUACCCGGAUUCACUGGGUGUAAAGGGCGCGUAGGCGGGAUAGCAAGUCAGAUGUGAAAUCCUAUGGCUUAACCAUAGAACUGCAUUUGAAACUGUUAGUCUAGAGUAUGGGAGAGGUAGGUGGAAUUCUUGGUGUAGGGGUAAAAUGCGUAGAGAUCAAGAGGAAUACUCAUGGCGAAGGCGACCUACUAGAACAUAACUGACGCUGAGGCUCGAAAGCGUGGGGAGCAAACAGGAUUAGAUACCCGUGUAGUC